ACGCUGGCGGCAGGCCUAACACAUGCAAGUCGAGCGGUAGAGAGAAGCUUGCUUCUCUUGAGAGCGGCGGACGGGUGAGUAAUGCCUAGGAAUCUGCCUGGUAGUGGGGGAUAACGUUCGGAAACGGACGCUAAUACCGCAUACGUCCUACGGGAGAAAGCAGGGGACCUUCGGGCCUUGCGCUAUCAGAUGAGCCUAGGUCGGAUUAGCUAGUUGGUGGGGUAAUGGCUCACCAAGGCGACGAUCCGUAACUGGUCUGAGAGGAUGAUCAGUCACACUGGAACUGAGACACGGUCCAGACUCCUACGGGAGGCAGCAGUGGGGAAUAUUGGACAAUGGGCGAAAGCCUGAUCCAGCCAUGCCGCGUGUGUGAAGAAGGUCUUCGGAUUGUAAAGCACUUUAAGUUGGGAGGAAGGGCAGUAAAUUAAUACUUUGCUGUUUUGACGUUACCGACAGAAUAAGCACCGGCUAACUCUGUGCCAGCAGCCGCGGUAAUACAGAGGGUGCAAGCGUUAAUCGGAAUUACUGGGCGUAAAGCGCGCGUAGGUGGUUCGUUAAGUUGGAUGUGAAAUCCCCGGGCUCAACCUGGGAACUGCAUUCAAAACUGACGAGCUAGAGUAUGGUAGAGGGUGGUGGAAUUUCCUGUGUAGCGGUGAAAUGCGUAGAUAUAGGAAGGAACACCAGUGGCGAAGGCGACCACCUGGACUGAUACUGACACUGAGGUGCGAAAGCGUGGGGAGCGAAC
rnacentral:rRNA from 1 species